rnacentral:rRNA from 1 species
AUUGAACGCUGGCGGAAUGUUUUACACAUGCAAGUCGAGCGGCAGCGCGGGGCAACCUGGCGGCGAGCGGCGAAUGGGUGAGUAAUACAUCGGAACGUGCCCAGACGUGGGGGGAUAACUACUCGAAAGAGUGGCUAAUACCGCAUACGAUCUAAGGAUGAAAGCGGGGGAUCGCAAGACCUCGCGCGUUUGGAGCGGCCGAUGGCAGAUUAGGUAGUUGGUGGGGUAAAGGCUUACCAAGCCCGCGAUCUGUAGCUGGUCUGAGAGGAUGAUCAGCCACACUGGGACUGAGACACGGCCCAGACUCCUACGGGAGGCAGCAGUGGGGAAUUUUGGACAAUGGGCGAAAGCCUGAUCCAGCCAUUCCGCGUGCAGGAUGAAGGCCCUCGGGUUGUAAACUGCUUUUGUACAGAACGAAAAAGACUCUUUCUAAUACAGAGAGUCCAUGACGGUACUGUAAGAAUAAGCACCGGCUAACUACGUGCCAGCAGCCGC